rnacentral:lncRNA from 1 species
GACAGAGCACCUCGCCCAGGUGACUCCAGGCUGCCCUCUGGCAGGCCGAGCGGGCGCCCUCCUUCCAGCUCAGACUGGUCUCUUCUUGGAAGAGGAAGAUGAGGCAGCAGGUGCCCAGGCCUGCUGCCUCCCAUCCCUCCCGACACCACCCCCAAGCAUUCUGAGCAGAGGAUGGGCUGGGCCUUUGAGUCCCCCAGAUCCCAGAAGGAAGAUGCAGCACCUUUUCGGGCCCUGCCUCGGGACUGCGUACUCCACUCUGCACCUCAGGGCCACCUGGCUCACGCCAGGGCAUCCUUCCUUCCGGUCCCCACCUGGGCCAAGUGCACACGCUCCUGCCCAGCCUUGGUAGCGAGGCCCUCCAGCAACUUUCCAGCGACUCGUUGCCUGUUGCAGCAGCUGCUGUCUCAGGCUUCAGCCUCCUGCCUGUGGGAAGGAAGAGCUCCUCCCCUGUCCCCUACGUUGCAGUAACUGCAGCCUGCAG